rnacentral:rRNA from 1 species
GAUGAACGCUGGCGGCGUGCCUAAUACAUGCAAGUCGAGCGAAUGGAUUAAGAGCUUGCUCUUAUGAAGUUAGCGGCGGACGGGUGAGUAACACGUGGGUAACCUGCCCAUAAGACUGGGAUAACUCCGGGAAACCGGGGCUAAUACCGGAUAACAUUUUGAACCGCAUGGUUCGAAAUUGAAAGGAGGCUUCGGCUGUCACUUAUGGAUGGACCCGCGUCGCAUUUUCGAGUUGGUGAGGUAACGGCUAACCAAGGCAACGAUGCGUAGCCGACCUGAGAGGGUGCUCGGCCACACUGGGACUGAGACACGGCCCAGACUCCUACGGGAGGCAGCAGUAGGGAAUCUUCCGCAAUGGACGAAAGUCUGACGGAGCAACGCCGCGUGAGUGAUGAAGGCUUUCGGGUCGUAAAACUCUGUUGUUAGGGAAGAACAAGUGCUAGUUGAAUAAGCUGGCACCUUGACGGUACCUAACCAGAAAGCCACGGCUAACUACGUGCCAGCAGCCGCAGUAA